rnacentral:rRNA from 1 species
CGGACCUGAUUGCUAUCGGAUUGAUACUAAGCCAUGCGAGUCAUUGUAGUAAUACAAGGCAGACGGCUCAGUAACGCGUAGUCAACCUACCCUAUGGACGGGAAUAACCUCGGGAAACUGAGUAUAAUGCCCGAUAGAACACUAUUCCUGGAAUGGUUUGUGUUCCAAAUGAUUUAUCGCCGUAGGAUGGGACUGCGGCCUAUCAGUUUGUUGGUGAGGUAAUGGCCCACCAAGACUAUUACAGGUACGGGCUCUGAGAGGAGUAGCCCGGAGAUGGGUACUGAGACACGGACCCAGGCCCUAUGGGGCGCAGCAGGCGAGAAAACUUUGCAAUGUGCGAAAGCACGACGAGGUUAAUCCGAGUGGUUUGUGCUAAACGAACCUUUUGACAGUCCUAGAAACACUGUUGAAUAAGGGGUGGGCAAGUUCUGGUGUCAGCCGCCGCGGUAAAACCAGCACCUCAAGUGGUCAGGAUGAUUAUUGGGCCUAAAGCAUCCGUAGCCGGCUCUGUAAGUUUUCGGUUAAAUCUGUACGCUCAACGUACAGGCUGCCGGGAAUACUGCAGAGCUAGGGAGUGGGAGAGGUAGACGGUACUCGGUAGGAAGGGGUAAAAUCCUUUGAUCUAUUGAUGACCACCUGUGGCGAAGGCGGUCUACCAGAACACGUCCGACGGUGAGGGAUGAAAGCUGGGGGAGCAAACCGGAUUAGAUACCCGGGUAGUCCCAGCUGUAAACUAUGCAAACUCAGUGAUGCAUUGGCUUGUGGCCAAUGCAGUGCUGCAGGGAAGCCGUUAAGUUUGCCGCCUGGGAAGUACGUACGCAAGUAUGAAACUUAAAGGAAUUGGCGGGG